rnacentral:rRNA from 1 species
UACGAAGGGGGCUAGCGUUGUUCGGAAUCACUGGGCGUAAAGCGCACGUAGGCGGCUUCUUAAGUCAGGGGUGAAAUCCUGGAGCUCAACUCCAGAACUGCCUUUGAUACUGAGGAGCUUGAGUCCGGGAGAGGUGAGUGGAACUGCGAGUGUAGAGGUGAAAUUCGUAGAUAUUCGCAAGAACACCAGUGGCGAAGGCGGCUCACUGGCCCGGUACUGACGCUGAGGUGCGAAAGCGUGGGGAGCAAACAGG